AGUCUGGUGCCAGCAGCCGCGGUAAUUCCAGCUCCGCAAGUGUAUAUCUAUGUUGCUGCGGUUAAAAAGCUCGUAGUUGGAUCUGCGUGUUUAGCGUCCGGUUCGACUUUUGGUCGUUACUGGAACGCGACACAGAUGUGCUGGUUUGCCGUUGAUGCUCUUAACCGGGUGUCAGUGGCGGCUAGCGAGUUUACUUUGAAAAAAUUAGAGUGCUCAAAACAGGCGUUUCGCCUGAAUAUUUCUGCAUGGAAUAAUAGAAUAGGACUUCGAUUCUAUUCUGUUGGUUUUCGGAAUGCGAAGUAAUGAUUAAGAGGGACAGACGGGGGCAUUCGUACUGCGACGUUAGAGGUGAAAUUCUUGGAUCGUCGCAAGACGUACUACUGCGAAGGCAUUUGCCAAGAAUGUUUUCAUUAAUCAAGAACGAAAGUUAUGGGUUCGAAGGCGAUCAGAUACCGCCCUAGUCAUAACCGUAAACGAUUCAAACUGGGCGCCCGACGGUGUUUUUAUUGACCCGUCGGGAACCCUCCCGGAAACGAAAGUGUUCGUGUUCCGGGGGAAAUAUGUCUGCAAAGAGGAAACUUAAAGGAAUUGACGGAAGGGCACCACCAGGGGUGGAGCCUGCGGCUUAAUUUGACCCAACACGGGGAAACUCACCCGGCCCGGACACCGUAAGGAUUGACAGAUUGAGAGCUCUUUCUUGAUUCGGUGGGUGGUGGUGCAUGGCCGUUCUUAGUUGGUGGAGUGAUUUGUCUGGUUUAUUCCGAUAACGAACGAGACUCUGGCCUGCUAACUAGUGUUCACAUCUUUACGUGUGCUUCGCUUCUUAGAGGGACAGGCGGCUUCCAGCCGCAUGAAGAAGAGCAAUAACAGGUCUGUGAUGCCCUUAGAUGUCCGGGGCUGCACGCGCGCUACACUGAAAGAAUCAGCGUGUACGUUACCUGGCUCGAAAGAGUCGGGUAAUCCGGUGAAAAUCUUUCGUGAUUGGGAUCGGGACUUGCAAUUAUUUCCCUUGAACGAGGAAUCCCUAGUAAGUGCGGGUCAUCAGCUCGCGCUGAUUACGUCCCUGCCCUUUGUACACACCGCCCGUCGCUGCCCGGAACUGAGCCGUUUCGAGAAAAAUGGGGACUGUCUACUUGAGGUCUUCACGGACUUUUUGUAAAUGGAAACCGCUUUAAUCGCAGCGGCUUGAACCGGGCAAAAGUCGUAACAAGGUUUCCGUAGGUGAACCUGCGGAAG
rnacentral:rRNA from 1 species